rnacentral:rRNA from 1 species
GACGAACGCUGGCGGCGUGCUUAACACAUGCAAGUCGAACGGUGAAGGGAUCAGCUUGCUGGUUCUGGAUGAGUGGCGAACGGGUGAGUAACACGUGAGUAACCUGCCCCCUUCUUCUGGAUAACCGCAUGAAAGUGUGGCCAAUACGGGAUAUUCUGCGCCUGCUGCAUGGUGGGUGUGGGAAAGAUAUUGUUUCGGUGGGGGAUGGGCUCGCGGCCUAUCAGCUUGUUGGUGGGGUGAUGGCCUACCAAGGCGGUGACGGGUAGCCGGCCUGAGAGGGGCGACGGUCACACUGGGACUGAGACACGGCGCAGACUCCUACGGGAGGCAGCAGUGGGGAAUAUUGCACAAUGGGCGCAAGCCUGAUGCAGCGACGCCGCGUGAGGGAUGGAGGCCUGCGGGUUGUGAACCUCUUUCGCCAGUGAAGCAGGCCUGUCCCUUGUGGGGGGGUUGACGGUAGCUGGAUAAGAAGCGCCGGCUAACUACGUG